GGCGCAAACUCAGCAUACAUCAUAGCUCAUAUAUCAUGUUGUAACUGAGGCAUUUCAGGUCAGUUUAGUGGUUAUAUAUCAUUAGCACUUGGAAGGAUUCUUGGUCUCGGAGCUCGAUUUGGGGUCUAUGAAAUCAUCACUGCCUUUUAUAAGGCUUCAGUUGCUGCUGCGGCUUCUCAUGCCUUUGAUACUACAAGAACUAGAUCACAGUGCACUGUGCUACCAAAGGGAUAUUCUACAACU